CUCCUCUGAGGUUAUCGGCGGAAGGGUGAGUAACACGUGGAUAACCUACCUAUAAGACUGGGAUAACUUCGGGAAACCGGAGCUAAUACCGGAUAAUAUAUUGAACCGCAUGGUUCAAUAGUGAAAGACGGUUUUGCUGUCACUUAUAGAUGGAUCCGCGCCGCAUUAGCUAGUUGGUAAGGUAACGGCUUACCAAGGCAACGAUGCGUAGCCGACCUGAGAGGGUGAUCGGCCACACUGGAACUGAGACACGGUCCAGACUCCUACGGGAGGCAGCAGUAGGGAAUCUUCCGCAAUGGGCGAAAGCCUGACGGAGCAACGCCGCGUGAGUGAUGAAGGUCUUCGGAUCGUAAAACUCUGUUAUUAGGGAAGAACAAAUGUGUAAGUAACUAUGCACGUCUUGACGGUACCUAAUCAGAAAGCCACGGCUAACUACGUGCCAGCAGCCGCGGUAAUACGUAGGUGGCAAGCGUUAUCCGGAAUUAUUGGGCGUAAAGCGCGCGUAGGCGGUUUUUUAAGUCUGAUGUGAAAGCCCACGGCUCAACCGUGGAGGGUCAUUGGAAACUGGAAAACUUGAGUGCAGAAGAGGAAAGUGGAAUUCCAUGUGUAGCGGUGAAAUGCGCAGAGAUAUGGAGGAACACCAGUGGCGAAGGCGACUUUCUGGUCUGUAACUGACGCUGAUGUGCGAAAGCGUGGGGAUCAAACAGGAUUAGAUACCCUGGUAGUCCACGCCGUAAACGAUGAGUGCUAAGUGUUAGGGGGUUUCCGCCCCUUAGUGCUGCAGCUAACGCAUUAAGCACUCCGCCUGGGGAGUACGACCGCAAGGUUGNNNCNNNUGNNGUAGAGUAUGAUGUGGUCGAGCGACAGAGGAGGAGGUUGCUCCUCUGAGGUUAUCGGCGGAAGGGUGAGUAACACGUGGAUAACCUACCUAUAAGACUGGGAUAACUUCGGGAAACCGGAGCUAAUACCGGAUAAUAUAUUGAACCGCAUGGUUCAAUAGUGAAAGACGGUUUUGCUGUCACUUAUAGAUGGAUCCGCGCCGCAUUAGCU
rnacentral:rRNA from 1 species